AAAUAAAGUAAUAGGUACAUGAAUAUAUUUAAAAAUAAUGCGUGUGAGAUUUUACUUAAAGUUGCGUUUUUAGUACAAAAAUAACCUUGAAAAAUAUCAUUUUCAAUUUCGAUUUUCACAAAAACUACGCAUUUUAGUUGGAAAAGAAAAGCAGUUUGUUAAGAAAAUCCACUACCAGCUAUCGACUAAACAGCAAAAAAUAAUGAAAUUCGGGGACAUCGAAUCAAAUAUGCAGCCAA